CUCCUACGGGGGGCAGCAGUGGGGAAUUUUGCGCAAUGGGGGAAACCCUGACGCAGCAACGCCGCGUGGAGGAUGAAGUCCCUUGGGACGUAAACUCCUUUCGAUCGGGACGAUAAUGACGGUACCGGAAGAAGAAGCCCGGCUAACUUCGUGCCAGCCGCCGCGGUAAUAC
rnacentral:rRNA from 1 species